UACGUAGGGCGCAAGCGUUGUCCGGAAUUAUUGGGCGUAAAGAGCUCGUAGGCGGUUUGUCGCGUCUGCUGUGAAAACCCGAGGCUCAACCUCGGGCCUGCAGUGGGUACGGGCAGACUAGAGUGCGGUAGGGGAGAUUGGAAUUCCUGGUGUAGCGGUGGAAUGCGCAGAUAUCAGGAGGAACACCGGUGGCGAAGGCGGGUCUCUGGGCAGUAACUGACGCUGAGGAGCGAAAGCGUGGGGAGCGAACAGG
rnacentral:rRNA from 1 species